ACAGCCAUGGAGCAAGCUAUGAUGCCUAUUCUCCUUCCUCUUCUUUUCCUUCAUCUUGCAUUUUGUGUGUGUGUGUUCAAAGGAGUGUAUUCAUUUUUUCCUUUGUUUUACUGAGAUAGAAUUCACAUACCAUACAAUUCACCUGUUUUAAAGUAUGUACUUUAAUGGUUUUACUAUAUCCACAGAGUUGCAUAACCAUCACCACAAUCAAUUUUAGAACAUUUUAUUCACCUCUAUCCUUUAGCAGUCACUCUUCAUUUUUCUCCAGCUUCAUUCCCACCCCCAACCCCAACCCUCAGAAACUACUAAUCUCCUUUCUGCUUCUAUAAAUUUGCCUACCAUGGACAUUUAAUAUAAAUGAAAUCGUACAAUGGGUAGUCUUUUGUGUCUGCUUUAUUUCACUUAGCAUAAUAUGUUUAAGGUCUGUGUUAGUCCAUUCUCACAUAGCUAAAAAGAACUACCUGAGACUGGGUAACGUAUAAAGAAAAGAGGUUUAUUGACUCACAGUUCUGCAGGCUGUACAGGAAGUAUAGCUGGGGAGGCCUUAGGAAACUUACAGUCAUGGCAGAAGGUGAAGAGGAAGGAAGCCCCUCUUAGAUGGCCAGAGCAGAAGGAAGAAAGGAGGGGGAGGUUGUACACACACUUUUAAACAACCAGAUCUCAUGAGAACUCACUCACUGUCACAAGAAUAGCAAGGGGGAUAUCUGACCCCAUGAUCCAAUUAUCUCCCAUCAGGCCCCUCCUCCCUCCUCCAACACUGGGGAUCACAAUUUAACAUGAGAUUUGGGUGGGGAAAAAAUUCAACCAUAGCAAGAUCUGUCCACAUUGUGACACGUAUCAGAAGUUUAUUCCUUUUUACAGCAGAGUAAUAUUUCAUUGUAUGGAUAUACCACAUUUUAGUUCUUUCGUUUUCUUGAAGCAUUGAAGUUUUAUCUUUCCAACUAGAGUACAACUAUUUUGAAGGAGGGAUUUUACCCCCUACUAAGCUUUUAUUUUUCAUCCCAUAGAAUGCAGCACCUACAACAUAAUAGACAUUCGAUACUGUUGAACUGAUGCUCAGAAGUCAAUGUGGAAAAAAUGAGUUCAGCAUCUUUUUGGCUUUGACAGAGUGAAGGUUGUUUAGGGAAGAGAGGAAUGGGAAAGUGAGAGAAGUGGUUUGAUGUACUAGAUUAAAUGAGUGUGAAAUUAAAAAGGGAAAGAUAAAGAAGAGACAUGAAGCCACUUAGUAGUACACAGAGGACCUUUGCCUGAAGAAGAAGGCUCAUAGAUAGAGUGGUAACAGCCAAAUGGAGACACCCACAGACCAACACAGGCAGUUUGAGUAAGAGCCAAAAUGUUAAGAGUACCCAUCACAGAUCACAUACAAAAUUUUGGCAGAGAUAACUGUGUACAUAGCUUUGUUCCAUUAGUUUGUACUGUAGAGAUAUCCUGAAAUUGUUGGGUUUGACUGUAAAACUAGUUCAUAACUGAGACUUUCUGUAACUUGUCACUACCCUCAUCGCCGUCAUCACUGUUGUCACCACCACCACCACCACCACCAUCACCAUCGUGAACAUUUGUCAAACACCUAUUAAAAUUUCAUGAAAAAUAGCCAUUUCCUGGUGCCCAGGGCACUAUGUGACAACAUUUUACAUGAGCUAUUUCAUUAGUCUUCUUAACAAUCCUAUGAGGCAGGACCUAUUAAUAUCACCAGUUUUACAUAUGAGAAAAAUGAAGUUGGAAUUCAAACUGCAUUUGAUUGACUCUGUUGCCUAUAUAUUUUCUAAAGUAGUUUUUAGUUGAAGCUCCCAAAAGUUUAAUUUCCCCUUCAGUCUAUUUCGACUUCAUGCUGAUUUCAUUUUUAUGAUGGUUUGUAUCAUUGUCAACAAAUAUGGAUACCCCUUCCACUCCCAUUGUGGGUGCUUUCUACCCCUCUAACUUGGGCUCACGUGGCUGACCACAGCCAAUGGAAUAAUAGGAGACAUCAUGUAAGCAGAGGCCUUAAAUGUGCUUGCAACCUUUGGCAUGCCUUUCAUGCACUGGUGAUCCAUGAGAAGAGGAUGCCCAAAUAGCCACUGCCCCUUUAGUUGGGACCUUAGAAUGAAUACGUAUGGAGCCGAUUUGAAACAACCCCUCUGGGGCCAACACAGCUGACUUUCAACCUGAAGGUCACUCAAAUCAGCUCAACUAUGCCAAUUCAUGAGCUUGAGAAUCAGUGUUUGAUAUUACAAGCUGCUGGGUUGGGGUGGUUGUUACACAGACUUAUCUGGCAAUAGUAUCUAUUACAAUAGGAUCUCUUUUUUCUGUCAUUCAUUUAGCAGUUGAUUCAACCAUGACUGAUUUGAUUCUGUACCAUGUGCCAGUUACUAUUGUAGGUGUUGGACAUAUAAAGACACCCAUGGGAAAGUCUUUAUUGUCUUGAUGUUUAGUUUUGAGUCAGGAAAAACAAUGUGUCUAUACAUUAUUAGAAGACACGAUAAAAUCUGUUAGGAGCAUUAGCAUUAGUCCAUUUAUCUAAACUACUGAAAUUUUUCCUUCUGCUCACCAAAGACUUCAAAGAAAUUUAAUAAAGGUAUUUUUUCUGCCUAAAUAUAUACUUUGGCAAUUUGAUUUUGUUUUAAAGUAGGAUAAUUACAUUUUCUCCAUCCAUUCUGUGAAUCACAGCUCCCUUGUGAAUUCCUUUGAAAACCCUGAUGAGGAAUGGAAGAUAACAGGUUGCCACUGACUGUAAAGGGAAAGAAUAUUGGAAGUUAUUUUUAAAGGUAGAGAUGGGAGAAAGGAGUAAUUUGAAAUCUGAAUUGUUCAGCUGCCGUCACACACAUUAUGGCUAAAAAGCUUCAUGGUAAAGAAUGACGGCUGGGCGCGGUGGCUCAUGCCUGUAAAUCCAGCACUUUGGGAGGCUGAGGCGGGCAGAUCACGAGGUUUAGGAGAGUUGGGAGUGGACCUGGGAAAUAUAAUUCCAAGACGCAUUAGAGAUAAAUGGACAAAGACAGUUUAC
rnacentral:lncRNA from 1 species